UUUAUUUUCUUUCGUUUCUUUUCCCAGAUAAUUGACAGCGCUGAAAAAAAGUAUGAAUAUGAACUGGGGUUUUAUUUUCUUUUUGCGAAACUGCGGCCGUUUAUUAAAUACAGCGAGAUACUGUUCUCGGCUGCAGCACUUAAGCCAAUAGUGGAGAAAUGUAUUGUCUGUAACGCACAAACUCGGUAUAAAGUGAAGAUUAAAUCGUUAAAAGUGGGGUAAUAACACGCUGAAGUUGUUCCCCGCUAAUGGGGGCAUUUGCUGGUGUUUAAUUUAUAGAAGGGCGCUGGGAUCUUGCGCGGAGCCUCUUGUUUGUCUGCGUCGCUGUGAAUCACUGUUCACCUUAAAUGAACCCGUGUGAUCUGGAGCCGAAACCGCACGGAGCGCCUCUGCCGCCUGCAAGUGUCGCCGCUGCGGCCGCUGGCGGGGAGCUUUUGUCGGCAAGAAAAAUACAUAAUAAACGCCUUUUCAAGGGGAAAUGUAUUCGCCUGCCGAUGACGGCGCGGACCGGGAGAGCGGCUAAGCUGCCGAUUCUCCCCGCCGUUCCGGGCUUUUUCCUGGCGGACAGAAUGAACCGGGGCCGGUAUGGGGGGGGGUUCUUGUGAAGAAAUUACAUUUCUGCCUUGUUUAGAGGUCAGGGUGUAUAUCGCCGUUAACUUUCAGCUGAGAAAAGCCUGAUAAUUUGGAUCUAAAACUGUGGUGAUUUUUCCCCACUCCUCGUGUUUCCCCUCCGAAGAGGAAAGGUGGUUGCGAGAUGUUGCUGCUGCAGCUUAAAUAACAAAUCUAAAGUGACACAGAAUUGUGGACUUUCACCGUCAGUUUGGGGUUAGCUUCAGAAAAGAGAUUCGGAUCUGGAAAAGUAAAAAAAAAAAAAAUCGACCCAAAAUAAAGUGAAACUGAGGAAGAGGAAAGCUCGACACCCGUCUGGGGCCAGGAGAGGCUUCGUGAAUCCGCGUUCAGGUGUCCAGAAAGUCCGGGAAAGCCACGGUGGUAUCACCCACAAGCGAGCGAGCAGACGAAAGCCAUUGACAACAGCGCAUAAACCUAGCGCAUAAACGUGUGGUGGAACAGCAGGACGUUGAAAACAAGUCCUUAAAAACACUUUUGUGAGCCACAUUUCUCUGCAUCGUCCCUGUAUUCUCCACACAGGCUGUUGGAACUGAGACCAAUGCUGUCCCUUCUGGAAAGAAAGCGAUAUGUUUGCCCCGCAGCCAUGCAUCUGUUGCGAGCAUGCGUCUACGAGGGUAAUGCUGUGCUUCACACCCGCUCAACAGCCAUACAGUAACCACCAGAAAGAUCAUGUUAAACUUGCAUACAUGCUUUCCAUUUUCUUCCUUUAAAACAUGCUGCUCCUUUCCUUGCAGCUUUAAUCUCCCUGUAAAAGCCCUGGGUACGAGCCUCUCGCAUGUCCUUCACAGACUGACUGUGACUUUGCUGCCCCCUGGUGACCAAGACGGAGAUGGCUGCCCUGACCCCUCUGAGGUGAUUGUAUUUUUUUCUCCCCUUCUCUUUCCUUUCAUCCCUGUCCUCUGUUAGUAUCUUCUUCCCAGGCAUGCUGGACCAGAUGCGGCUGACGAGCACGUAUCCGGAGGAAAGCAAAAAACUGUCCUUUGGGGUGAGGUAGUAGGUUGUAUAGUUUUAGGGUUUUACCCUUCCUGUCAGAUAACUAUACAACUUACUGUCUUUCCUGGAGUGGCUGUGAUGUCAUCGCUUGAAGAUCGCGCUCACGAGGACUCGUCCACCAUACGUGUGUCAUGUUCCAUGGCUUGUUUACCAAGAUCACGGAUGGGAGAGCUUGCUGGAAGCCCUUUUCCCAAAACUCCGGCCCGGUCUCUCCUCCUGAUGUCCGCACAGGGUGAGGUAGUAGGUUGUGUGGUUUCAGGGUAGUGAUUUUGCCCCCGUCAGAAGAUAACUACACAACCUACUGCCUUCCCUGAAGGACAGCAAUGCAGCUCGUGACAGCAAGCAUGGUCCCAUAGAUCGGUAACGACAGCGUUAGUACAUGGCGAAUGUAAACAGAGGCAAAUUGACAUUACUAAAUAAUAUAAGGUAAGGAACCUGAGAAUGAAAAUGCUACAUUUACACUUAUGUAAAUUCUGAAAGGGUGAUGAGACAAUAAAAAAUUAAUUCAAAACA